CUUCUCCUCUCACAUCUGACCGCCAAAACAAAGCCCUAAAAGGCCCGCACUCUCACUCUCCCUCGCGAUCUCAUCGACGACGGCGGCAAUGGACGCCACCCCACGAAAACCUAAGCCCAGAUCUACUCCCUUGAGGCCCAAACCCUCGCCGCUCGUCCCUCCGACGCCGGAAUCCGCCACCCCGCGCCGCUCCCUCCGCCUGCACCGCUCCGCUUCCGGCCUCGCAUCACCUCUCACCCCCGGCCCGGCUGCAGGCCGCCUCGACAUACCCAGAUCUGCCCGCAAGGCCAAGCGGUCGCUGCAGAUCGACGAGGCGCCGCUUACCGAGCCGCCCUCCGCUUUCUCCCCUGUCACCCCGGAAUCGAAGAGGAGGAGACGAUCCCAGCCCUCCAGAGCUUCGAACGGGCGGGUGUACUACAAGAAGGUGGUGUACGACGGCGGAGAGUUUGAGGUGGGGGACGACGUGUACGUGAAGAGGAAGGAGGCGCCGGAGUCCGCCGAUGACGACCCGGAAGUGGAGGAGUGCCGGAUUUGCUUCCGGACAGGCAGGAGAGUGAUGAUCGAGUGCGAUGAUUGCUUGGGGGGGUUCCAUCUCGUGUGCUUGGAACCGCCGCUAAGGAAGAUCCCGGAGGGGGACUGGAUCUGUGGGUUCUGCCAGGCGCGGAAGAUGGGUAUAGACGUGGAGCUGCCGAAACCUCCCGAGGGGAGGAAAAUGAGGAGGACUGCCAAGGAGAAGCUUCUUUCUAGUGAUUUGUGGGCUGCUCGAAUCGAGAGCUUGUGGAGAGAACCAGAUGGUACCUAUUGGCUAAAAUGUCGGUGGUACAUAAUUCCUGAAGAGACUGCAGUUGGGAGGCAGCCACAUAACCUGCGGAGGGAACUAUACCGUACAAAUGAUUUAGGUGAUAUUGAGAUCGAGUCUGUCCUUCGGCAUUGCUAUGUUAUGAGUCCAAACAACUAUAAAGAAGCCAGCAAUGAGGGAGAUGAUGUAUUUUAUUGUGAAUAUGAGUAUGACAUUCACUGGCACAACUUCAAGCGUCUAACAGAUAUUGAUGAUGCCAUUGAGAAUGACAAAGGAGUUGAAAGUGAUGAAGAUUGGAAAAUUUCCAAGGAUCCUGAUACAGAUGAAGAUUCGGAGUGUGAAGAACUUGCUAGGGUGAACCAUUCUGCUCAGAGGAGACAUGAGUCAGCAGCCAACAUACGCAAGGGAAGGACAUUUGGUCUUCAAAAGAUUGGUAUAAAAAGAAUUCCUGAACAUGCACGAUGCUCUAAGCAGACUGAUUUGGAGAAGGCCAAAGCCAUGUUGCUUCUAGCAACUUUGCCCAAAUCACUUCCUUGCAGGACUAAAGAAAUGGAAGAGAUAACUGCAUUCAUCAGAGGUGCUAUUUCUGAUGAUCAUUGUUCAGGACGCUGCCUUUAUAUUCAUGGUGUUCCAGGAACUGGCAAGACUAUGUCUGUACUUGCGGCAAUGAGAAAUCUGAGGUCGGAGGUCGAUGCACGAACUGUGAGGCCCUAUACCUUUGUAGAUAUUAAUGGUCUGAAACUAGCUUCUCCAGAGAAUAUUUACAAAGUAAUCUAUGAAGCACUAAGUGGUUACAGGGUUGGAUGGAAAACUGCUCUUCAUCUUUUGAAUGAACGUUUUUCCAAGGGUGGUGGAGUCAGCAACAAUGAGCUUCGACCUUGUGUUUUGCUUAUAGAUGAGCUUGAUCUUCUUUUGACUAGAAACCAAUCGGUUUUGUAUAACAUUCUUGAUUGGCCUACUAAACCACAAUCAAAGCUCGUUGUGAUAGGAAUAGCAAACACUAUGGAUCUUCCUGAAAAGUUAUUGCCACGCAUUUCAAGCAGAAUGGGGAUUCAGCGGCUAUGUUUUGGGCCUUAUAGUUAUCAACAAUUACAAGAAAUCAUUUCUAGCCGUCUUAAAGGCCUUGAUGCAUUUGAGGAACAAGCUGUUGAGUUUGCUUCCAGGAAGGUUGCAGCUAUGUCAGGCGAUGCUAGACGGGCACUGGAGAUAUGUAGGCGGGCAGCUGAAAUAGCAGAUUAUCAAUUCAAGCAAUCACCGUUGUGCAAACAGCCAUCAGAAUCUGUUGAUGGUUCUUUUGAAGGAAAACGGCUUGUUGGUAUGGCUGAUAUAGAGGCUGCCAUACAUGAAUUGUUUCAGGCACCACAUAUUCAAAUAAUGAAAACUGCUUCAAGACUCGGCAAAAUUUUCUUGGUGGCUAUGGUCUAUGAACUUUAUAGAAGUGGAUUGGGUGAAACAAACUUUGAAAAGUUGGCUACCACUGUUGCCUCUUUGUGCACGAGCAAUAAGGAAGCAUCACCUGGAUGGGAUACACUCCUGAAAGUUGGUUGCAAGCUUGGUGAGAGUAGAAUAAUACUUUGUGAGGAAGGCACAAAGCAUAGGUUGCAAAAAUUGCAGCUCAACUUCCCAAGUGAUGAUGUCGCUUUUGCCUUGAAAGAUUGCUCAGAACUUCCUUGGUUGUCGAAGUAUUUAUAAAUUAUUACUCUGGAAAGAAGAUGAGGUGCUACUCGGUUCCACUAUUCAUUCCCAAAAGUCUGGGCUCUUCUUUUUAUUAAAUGUUGUGCUGAUGUGGAAGAUGCUGGAUGGAGGUAGACACUUGACGACGCUGCUAUGACUUGGUUACAUGGAUGAGGGAAAUCUAAGAGCUGUUUGAAAAACUCGUUCUAAUUUCCAUGCAUCCCAAGAAAUGCAUAUUGCAGAAUCAAAUGCCCCGUUCUGAAAGGUGGAAUAUGUUCCCUCGGCCCCACCUUGGUUUUGAAGAAAUCAUUUAUACGAAAUGUGGAUCACCUGUUAUUGGGUUUCGUGCUGCUAAUCAAUAUCAACAUAAGGCUUACCCAAAUUUUCCAAUGCUGAGGUAAACAAUCAGAAUUUGACAUCUAAAGUCUAAAUUUGGUUGUAGGCAAAAUAUUUUCCAGAUUAUUUGAACCAUUAAUGCUUUAAGGUGUGUUAUUAUUAGUAACUUGAAGAUUUCUAGUCUCCACUUCAUGUAUAUCUCUACGCUGCGAUGGUAUUUGCCACCUUCUCAGGUCCGCCUGACCCGUUACUAGAAUCUGUUGUGC